AAUACUUUGGUAGAAUGUAGCGAUGGCUAUGUAUACUGUUUGAAAUGCUUAUCUCGUGCAAUGUACAGAAAGUGCUCAGAAUGACUGGGUGUGUACGCUGUGUCCUAUGUGGCCGACCAGGAUAUAAUUCUUUGUUUACCAGGUACAUAUUGUAUUUUUUUUGUUUACAUAUUUGUUCAAUUUAAUGUUGUGUUGUGAUAAUAUAUAUGCCAUUGUACGUGAUUUAGCAGGGCCAGUGCACGAGGAGCGUGCCCGUGAAUGACUGGGUGUGUACGCUGUGUCCUACGUGGCUGACCAGGAUAUAAUUCUUUGUUUACCAGAAUAAAUCCGACAAGAUUGA